rnacentral:rRNA from 1 species
UACGUAGGGGGCAAGCGUUGUCCGGAAUCAUUGGGCGUAAAGAGCGUGUAGGCGGCCCGAUAAGUCCGCUGUGAAAGUCCAGGGCUCAACCCUGGGAUGCCGGUGGAUACUGUCGGGCUCGAGUCCGGAAGAGGCGAGUGGAAUUCCUGGUGUAGCGGUGAAAUGCGCAGAUAUCAGGAGGAACACCAAUGGCGAAGGCAGCUCGCUGGGACGUGACUGACGCUGAGACGCGAAAGCGUGGGGAGUAAACAGG